rnacentral:rRNA from 1 species
GACGUAGGGUGCGAGCGUUGUCCGGAUUUAUUGGGCGUAAAGAGCUCGUAGGCGGCUCGUCGCGUCGACCGUGAAAACCCGCAGCUUAACUGCGGGCUUGCGGUUGAUACGGGCGGGCUAGAGUUCGGUAGGGGAGACUGGAAUUCCUGGUGUAGCGGUGAAAUGCGCAGAUAUCAGGAGGAACACCGGUGGCGAAGGCGGAUCUCUGGGCCAUUACUGACGCUGAGGAGCGAAAGCGUGGGGAGCGAACAGG